rnacentral:rRNA from 1 species
GAUGCAGCCAUGCCGCGUGUAUGAAGAAGGCCUUCGGGUUGUAAAGUACUUUCAGUUGUGAGGAAGGGGGUGUCGUUAAUAGCGGCAUCUCUUGACGUUAGCAACAGAAGAAGCACCGGCUAACUCCGUGCCAGCAGCCGCGGUAAUACGGAGGGUGCGAGCGUUAAUCGGAAUUACUGGGCGUAAAGCGCAUGCAGGUGGUUCAUUAAGUCAGAUGUGAAAGCCCGGGGCUCAACCUCGGAACUGCAUUUGAAACUGGUGAACUAGAGUACUGUAGAGGGGGGUAGAAUUUCAGGUGUAGCGGUGAAAUGCGUAGAGAUCUGAAGGAAUACCAGUGGCGAAGGCGGCCCCCUGGACAGAUACUGACACUCAGAUGCGAAAGCGUGGGGAGCAAACAGGAUUAGAUACCCUGGUAGUCCACGCCGUAAACGAUGUCUACUUGGAGGUUGUGGCCUUGAGCCGUGGCUUUCGGAGCUAACGCGUUAAGUAGACCGCCUGGGGAGUACGGUCGCAAGAUUAAAACUCAAAUGAAUUGACGGGGGCCCGCACAAGCGGUGGAGCAUGUGGUUUAAUUCGAUGCAACGCGAAGAACCUUACCUACUCUUGACAUCCAGAGAAGCCAGCGGAGACGCAGGUGUGCCUUCGGGAGCUCUGAGACAGGUGCUGCAUGGCUGUCGUCAGCUCGUGUUGUGAAAUGUUGGGUUAAGUCCCGCAACGAGCGCAACCCUUAUCCUUGUUUGCCAGCGAGUAAUGUCGGGAACUCCAGGGAGACUGCCGGUGAUAAACCGGAGGAAGGUGGGGACGACGUCAAGUCAUCAUGGCCCUUACGAGUAGGGCUACACACGUGCUACAAUGGCGCAUACAGAGGGCAGCGAACUUGCGAGAGUGAGCGAAUCCCAAAAAGUGCGUCGUAGUCCGGAUUGGAGUCUGCAACUCGACUCCAUGAAGUCGGAAUCGCUAGUAAUCGUAGAUCAGAAUGCUACGGUGAAUACGUUCCCGGGCCUUGUACACACCGCCCGUCACACCAUGGGAGUGGGCUGCAAAAGAAGUGGGUAGUUUAACCUUUCGGAGGACGCUCCCACUUUGUG